UCAAGGCGUAAAAUCUUCACAAUAUGCUGCCCUGAAUAAUUCAUCAGAUCUUCACAGAAUCACAACACGAGACAUUUGAGUUCAAUCUAAUAAUCAAUAUAGUUUGCUUUAAUCUAGAGUUUGGAUUUUUUAUUUGUGGAAAAAAUAUAGCUUUGAACAAAAAUUGAUGUUUAUGUGUUAUGGUUAUAGAUUCUUAUACACGGAUUCGGAACUACACUAACAAAAAG
rnacentral:lncRNA from 1 species